UGGAACAUGUGCUCUUUUAGUAUUUCUGUAGUAGGUUUCCUCAAGGAGGAAGCCUCC
ensembl:snRNA U7 U7 small nuclear RNA